GCGGGAUGCAGGGAGGCGGGAUGCAGGGUGGCAGGAUGCAGAGAGAUGGGAUGAUGCAGGGAGGCAGGAUGCAGAGAGAUGGGAUGCAGGGAGGCAGGAUGCAGGGAGGCAGGAUGCAUGGAGGUGGGAUGCAGGGAAGUGGGAUGCAGGGUGGCAGGAUGCAGGGAGGCAGGCAUAGUUUAGAUGUUGGAAUGUCUUCAAGGAUCCUUGAAUUUCAGGCUUGCUCUCCA
rnacentral:lncRNA from 1 species